rnacentral:rRNA from 1 species
GAUGAACGCUAGCGGCAGGCCUAACACAUGCAAGUCGAGGGGUAGAGGAAGCUUGCUUCCUUGAGACCGGCGCACGGGUGCGUAACGCGUAUGCAAUCUACCUUAUACAGAGGGAUAGCCCAGAGAAAUUUGGAUUAAUACCUCAUAGUAUUAUGAAAUCGCAUGGUUUUAUAAUUAAAGUUCCAACGGUAUAAGAUGAGCAUGCGUCCCAUUAGUUAGUUGGUAAGGUAACGGCUUACCAAGACAAUGAUGGGUAGGGGUCCUGAGAGGGAGAUCCCCCACACUGGUACUGAGGCACGGACCAGACCCCUACGGGAGGCAGCAGUGAGGAAUAUUGGUCAAUGGACGCAAGUCUGAACCAGCCAUGCCGCGUGCAGGAUGACGGUCCUAUGGAUUGUAAACUGCUUUUAGACAGGAAGAAACACUCCCUCGUGAGGGAACUUGACGGUACUGUAGGAAUAAGGAUCGGCUAACUCCGUGCCAGCAGCCGCGGUAACAC